ACGCUCGACACCUACGGGAGCAGCAGUGGGGAAUAUUGCACAAUGGGGGAAACCCUGAUGCAGCGACGCCGCGUGAGCGAAGAAGUAUUUCGGUAUGUAAAGCUCUAUCAGCAGGGAAGAAACUGACGGUACCUGACUAAGAAGCACCGGCUAAAUACGUGCCAGCACGCCGGACGGUAAUCUGAGGCGGGCUGGCAAGGC
rnacentral:rRNA from 1 species